UGGGAGCAGGAGCCAGGAAGCGGAGGAGAGGACAGGCAGACAGAGGGGCACGCUGGAGGCUGCACAGGCGGCCGAGCCCGGGCUGCGACAUGAAGCUGCUACCCAGCUGGAUGGCGGUGCUGCCUGGGAGCCCUCAGGGCAGGGCCUGGCCAUGGGCCCAGCGACCCAGAAGAACUGCUCACACCUGUGCUCCAAAGAUGAGGGCCCAGGAGAACCCUGAGGGCCGGAACCAGAAGGCCCCAGUUCCGAGGCUCCAGGAGCCAGCACAGUGGACUCGUCCUUGCACAAAGCAACAUGAGCGUGAGUCUCUGGGCUCAGUGGAGACCUCCACGGGGGACCCCCCGAUGUCCCCGUCCACAGAGCCCAAGUUUGACAUGUUGUACAAGAUUGAGGAUGUGCCACCUUGGUACCUGUGCAUCCUGUUGGGCUUCCAGCAUUACCUGACCUGCUUCAGCGGCACCAUCGCUGUGCCCUUCCUCCUGGCCGAGGCGCUCUGUGUAGGCCGUGACCAGUACAUGGUCAGCCAGCUCAUUGGCACCAUCUUCACCUGUGUGGGCAUCACCACCCUCAUCCAGACCACACUGGGCAUCCGGCUGCCGCUGUUUCAGGCCAGUGCCUUUGCAUUUCUGGUCCCAGCCAAAGCCAUCCUGGCCCUGGAGAGAUGGAAGUGCCCUCCAGAAGAGGAGAUCUAUGGCAACUGGAGUCUGCCCCUGAAUACCUCUCAUAUUUGGCAUCCACGGAUACGAGAGGUCCAGGGUGCAAUCAUGGUGUCCAGUAUGGUGGAGGUGGUGAUUGGGCUGAUGGGGCUGCCUGGGGCCCUGCUCAGUUACAUUGGGCCUCUUACAGUCACCCCUACUGUCUCCCUCAUUGGUCUCUCUGUCUUCCAAGCUGCUGGCGACCGAGCUGGCUCCCACUGGGGUGUCUCCGCUUGCUCCAUUCUCCUGAUCGUCCUCUUCUCCCAGUACCUGCGAAAUCUCACCUUCCUGCUGCCUGUCUACCGCUGGGGAAAGGGCCUCACUCUCUUCCGCAUCCAGAUCUUCAAGAUGUUUCCUAUCGUGCUAGCCAUCAUGACCGUGUGGCUGCUCUGCUAUAUACUGACCCUGACGGAUGUGCUGCCCUCAGACCCCACAGCCUAUGGCUUCCAGGCACGAACAGAUGCCCGAGGGGACAUCAUGGCUAUUGCUCCCUGGAUCCGCAUCCCCUACCCCUGUCAGUGGGGGCUUCCCACAGUGACUGCGGCUGCUGUCCUGGGAAUGUUUAGUGCCACAUUAGCAGGCAUCAUUGAGUCCAUCGGAGAUUACUAUGCUUGUGCCCGCCUGGCUGGUGCACCACCCCCUCCAGUACAUGCUAUCAACAGGGGUAUCUUCACCGAAGGCAUCUGCUGCAUUAUCGCAGGGCUGCUGGGAACGGGCAACGGCUCCACCUCAUCCAGCCCCAACAUCGGCGUCUUGGGGAUUACGAAGGUGGGCAGCCGGCGCGUGGUGCAGUAUGGUGCGGCCAUCAUGCUGGUCCUGGGCACCAUUGGCAAGUUCACGGCCCUCUUCGCUUCACUCCCUGACCCCAUCCUAGGGGGGAUGUUCUGCACGCUUUUCGGCAUGAUUACAGCUGUGGGGCUGUCUAACCUGCAGUUCGUGGACAUGAACUCCUCCCGCAACCUCUUCGUGCUUGGAUUUUCCAUGUUCUUCGGGCUCACGCUGCCCAGUUACCUGGAAUCCAACCCAGAUGCCAUCAACACAGGCAUUCCUGAAGUGGACCAGAUUCUGACUGUGCUGCUGACCACAGAGAUGUUCGUGGGUGGGUGCCUUGCUUUCAUACUGGACAACACAGUGCCAGGAAGUCCAGAGGAACGAGGUCUGAUACAGUGGAAAGCUGGGGCCCACGCCAACAGUGAGAUGUCUACCAGCCUGAAGAGCUAUGAUUUUCCCAUUGGGAUGAGCAUGGUAAAAAGAAUUGCCUUUCUGAAAUACAUUCCUAUCUGCCCAGUCUUCAAAGGAUUUUCUUCAUGGUCAAAAGACCAGCUUCCAGUUCCAGAUGAUAUCCCAGAAAAUACAGAAACUGGAUCUGUGUGCACCAAGGUGUGAAAAAUUACUCCCAGGAAAGCAAAUCUUGCGAGCAAGGUUGUCCUGAGAGACUGAGUCCACACUAAAGUAGCACUGUAUAUAACAAGACAAGAAAACUACAUGGGGAGUCAGAAGACCGAAGUUGGAAUCCCAGCUCUGCUCACUAACUUCUUAUGUAGGCCUGGAUAAGUCACUCUGGGACUCUGUUUUUGCAUCAGUUAGGGGAAGACUGCACCAAAGCCUCUAAGAGCUUAGAGACUUGUACCAUCAUUAUUCUGUAUUUCUAAAUCUUUACUUUCCUAAGCAGAUGUGUCAGCAUAUAGGGAAUAGUUGGAAAUUUUCCUCUACCACAUCUCUGAAUGCAAGUUGAUCAAGACAAAAAGAAACCAGGAUGGAUUCCAGGGCCUGAAAUGUAAGCAUGCUGGCAGGAUUUUGGAUUGAAUCUGAGCCCCUAAUAUCACUUACUUUAAGAACAAAGCAUAUUAAACAACAUGUUGGAGUAAUAAUUUAAGUUUCAUAAUUUACACUCAA